rnacentral:lncRNA from 1 species
AUGCAUUCGACGAACCCAAAUCUCCUCCACCACCAUCUCCCUCACCUCCAUACUACUACUAUUCACCACCUUACAAAUACUCCUCACCACCUCCACCACCUUACAAGUACUCAUCGCCUCCUCCACCACCUUACAAAUACUCAUCGCCUCCUCCACCACCUUAUAAGUACUCAUCGCCUCCGCCACCAUACAAAUACUACUCGCCACCUCCACCGCCCUACUAUGACCAUCCGUAUUAUUAUGAUCACUCUCCAUCUCCACCGCCUUAUAAAUACUCCUCACCUCCACCGCCAUAUAAGUACUACUCACCUCCACCACCUUACAAGUACUCAUCGCCUCCUCCGCCAGCAUACAAAUACUCAUGGUAUUCUCCGCCGCCAUACAAAUACUACUCGCCUCCUCCACCUCCCUACUAUUACAAGUCUCCACCUCCACCACCCUACUAUGACCAUCCUUAUUAUUAUGAUCACUCUCCAUCUCCACCGCCUUACAAAUACUCCUCACCUCCUCCACCUUACAAGUACGCCUCCCCUCCACCACCAUACAAAUACUCCUCGCCUCCUCCACCUCCCUACUAUUAACACUUCCGCAUACCCCUCUCCACCACCUUAUAAGUACUCCUCACCUACUCUACCACCAUGCAAAUACUACUCACCUCCUCCACUUUCUUACUAUUAUCACCAUCCACCUCCUCCGCCUUGCAAGGACUCAUCACCUCCUCCGCCUCCCCAUAUUAUCACCACUAUCCUCCGCCACCAGAUUAUUGCAGAUCACCACCUCCACCAUAUUAUUAGAAGUCUCGGCCUCCGGCACCUUUGUGCUCAUUAUCACUCUCAUCAUCCUCCAUCGAUUGAAUAUAUCACCACCUCCACCGUACUACAUCCAACCACCACCAUCAUCAUAAUUAGUCUCCAAUAAUUCCACCAUCUCAAUCCUCUCAUCAAUCGGCUACUGCAAACAGUCCAC